AUGGGGCUUUGUCCAAACGAGGACCAGACGUCUGUUCUGUGGCAGAAGGUCCAACGACUGUCGCAUAUGACACUGUGGUCUUCAAGAAAGCAGAAGACUAUGAACAAAACCAGGUGGCCAUUAGCCGACUUCCUGAACGAGAGGAAGUGAUCUACAGCACUCCGAAACUUCAAUAAUAACAGAUGAUAUCUGGCCAUUCACAUUAUGAAUAUUACAAUGUUAAGUAAUGGCAUCUUCAUCUGUUUUACAUCAUGCACAAUUUCUUGUAAAGCCGCAAAAGAUUUCAUGUGAGAUGGAAAAAGAGGUAUACGUGUUGCGUGCAUGCAAGGUCAUGGUUGUGUCAGAUUAUUAUUGUACUCUUAAGAUUCUUGCCACAUCUGUAAAAUUUUCACCUAUUUAUUAAUGUGCAUGCUUGUGGAGGUACUUCUUCUGCUUCUCUACUUUUAUUCUUAGUCGAUGUGAGAAGCAAAACUGAAACAUCUUUACCACAUCAGAGACCGACACAAUGAGUUCAGGUCAGCUUACGAUUAGUUACACCACUUCAGAGAAACCACAAAAAUUUGCUUGAAAUCGGAUUACUCAAUAUUUGUCUUUGCAUAAAGAACUUUUCUUUUUUUUUAAUUGAGCUGCUAUAUAUUUUAGCAUUUUUAUUGUUGUGUGUGUAAGGUUUAGUUAUAAAAAGUACUUCAAUCUAUAUAUAAAAGAAUAUUUUAAUGGAUUUGCAAUUAAAAUAUAAUAAAUGUUAAUACAUAAAAUGUCUACAUGGCUCUCGUUCAAGGUAAUAUUACUGCGUGUGUGUGUGUGUGUAGAUAACUCAAAUCCUAAAACAAACUUUGUUCCUUGCAAUAAAAAAUUAAAUG